rnacentral:rRNA from 1 species
AGGGUGAACGCUGGGCGGCGUGCCUAACACAUGCAAGUCGAGCGGUGCAGUUUGAAGCUUCGGUGGAAAGCUGCAUAGCGGCGGACGGGUGAGGAAAACGUAGGAACGUGCCCCUUGGAGUUGGAUAGCCACGGGAAACUGUGGGUAAACCGACAUAGACUCGAGAGAGUAAAGGCCGAAAGGCGCCAAGGGAGCGGCCUGCGGCCCAUCAGGUAGUUGGUAGUGUAAAGGACUACCAAGCCGACGACGGGUAGCCGGUCUGAGAGGAUGGCCGGCCACAAGGGCACUGAGAGACGGGCCCUACUCCUACGGGAGGCAGCAGUGGGGGAUUUUGGACAAUGGGCGAAAGCCUGAUCCAGCGACGCCGCGUGGAGGACGAAGCCCUUCGGGGUGUAAACUCCUUUUCUCAGGGAAAAAGGAUGAUGGUACCUGAGGAAUAAGCCCCGGCUAACUACGUG